UUGAUGUCCAUUUUGGAGAUGCACUUGUUCAUAUCUUUUGUGUACUAGUUCAUUGGUCUGUUCUCUUGAUUAUUUUGAGAAACUUAAAAAUUAUUUUGAGAAAUGACCAUUCAUACUUCAAAUAUUGAUUUUACGCUGUUUUUUCACUAGGGUGAAAAACAAAAAUGCUGAUUAGAAGAAAAGUAUGUUCAUGACCUUGAAGUGGGCAGAUAGUUGUUAAACACGGAUUUGAAGAAUACAAUUUCAUAAGGAUGAAGUCUCGAGGAUCAUUAAAGGGAUGCUACUGGAAUAUUAUGUAGACAGAGCUCAGACCUAGCAGUUGGAAAACUGACCUCCAUCCCUUGGAGCUGACUAAGAAGAUGAACCCAGGUUUGUUCAAAUCAAUGAUUCCUGAAGACUUUAACUUUUCCAAAAGGAAAUACGUAGUCCACUGGUUCAUUACUUACAUUUGAAUGCUGGAACACUUGUCUCCACACAGUGCAUGUCCCACAAAAGACUUUGUAUGCACCUUCUCAAAAAAAAAAUGUACUGAAAGAAAAGACUCAUUAGAUGUGGCUACACUGAAAAGCAGGAUAAAUAGAAGUUUCUAGAUAUGUUUUUGCAACACCUGCAUGUGCUUUAGAGUGAACAGGAAAGAAUAGGGAAAGAAUAGGUAAGAAGAGUAUGAUAUCCUGGUCAAAUGUAGUCUGACCAAUUUCUGUACUAGUUGCUUUCCCAAGAUUAUUUGAAGAAGUUCUGUUAAUGUCAUCACUUGGGGAUAUCAGUCUGGUUACUAUGCGGAGAUUCCUUCUAUUCCAAGAUAGAGCAUCACCAUCAUGAAUAAAUGCCCUUAGUUAGCAGAUGAUACUUGUGCUCUGACAUGCUGCUAUGUUUGUCAUCUAAGUUGACUGAAUAGGAAAGAUUAAAGACAAGUUAUCACUGUACCUUCAGCCAGAGUAUAAGAGGAAGAAAAGGAACAAUGACAGAGAUAAAAAAAAAUACUGAUUCUUCUUCCCAUUAUCUUUUGGACCCAAGAGAAAAAUCUGUAGUUCCAGCA
rnacentral:lncRNA from 1 species